rnacentral:sRNA from 1 species
UGUUCGUUUGUCAAUUGCCAUAUCAAGAUUACUAGUAGAUUGAUUGAUAGUCAAAUCCUGAGGAAGAAACCCAGAAUCCGUAGACAGCUAUCUAUGUAUUUAUUCUUGCGUUGAAAACAAUAUAGCCGGUGCCAGUCGCAUCUAUGAUUCCCCUGCUACAAUGAAGUCUGCUCAGUCUCAUGCAAUAAGUAAAUGUCAAUUUGCCAUUUCAUCGUCGUUGUCCAUGCUGUCAUCACUCCCCGAUUCUUCGGCUUCCUCGUCCUCAUCCCCAUCCUCGUCCUCGUCGUCUUCGCCUCCCUCGAGCUUCAAUCCAUAGUCAUCCUCAAAGAAUUUCAGACUGCGCACUUCGGGUUUGUAUCCAACUCCUUCGAAGCCCUUCUUGAUAGGCUUUAGAAAUGGUCAGUAAAAAUUUAUAUCCUAAACAUUUAUAAACAUGAACAAGUAAGAAAGUAAAGAAGCAGGCAGAAGGAAGAAUAACAGAACAUCUAUUUCUCACCUCUUCAAGCACCCUACCGCAAGCAACUAUGAUAUCAGACUUGCCAGGAGUAAAAAGGGGCAAGAUAAAAUCCUUUAAAAUAUCCUUGAUCUCCUCAAUACCAAUUUCCCUAACUUUCCGCAGUAGCUUCUCCUGGUAGUCACUGGGCAAUCCCCGGAUGACCUGCCGGACAAAACUGGCCAAUGCUGUACUAGCUUGCGUUGUCUCCUCAUUGACGAAAUCAAGCACGAUGCUGCUGAUGGCGCCCUCGAGGGCCAUAUGUGGGUCGAACUGUUCCGCCCCAGACAAAUGGUUUUCGACAAUUUUCUUUCCCUCCUCAAAGGCCCUGUAUACAUUGGGGGAUCGGUACACUUGAAAUUGGAGAAGCCCGGUAUCCACGUCGUGUAGGAAUCGAGAGCCAUAAGCCAGCCCCGUGCCGCGGAUAGCUACCCACAGUGGCCCUUCCACCGCAUUCAUAUAGGCAAUGGUCACCAAGAGGGCCGGGAGUUUGGGAUGGUUGUAGGAGUCCAGACCCUUGGAGCUGGUGAGCAAAAAGGAGGAGUCAAUGGUCGUCAUCGGAACGAUAUGCGCCAUGGUCCCCGGGUUUUUGGCCACAUCUUUCAGACGAUCUCGUAGUUGUAUGAUUGGACUGAGUGGCUGAGUAACAUCCAGUCGACUGACGAAUGGCCCCCACGCUGAUGAAGGGUUGCGCAGUUUAUCCAUAUCUGCGAUGACAAAUAUUCGGAAAUUUUCGAAUCGGAAAAGCUGCUUCCUAAUGAUUUCCAUUCGGGCCACAACGACUUCAGGGUUUUGCUCAAGCUGGCGUUUGGUACGUUUCAGAUAUAAAGCUCUAGUUAGAGGUGUCAUGGCACGGACAAUUGACUCCUGGGAGUGUGAGAUCAUCGUUUGCACCGCAUCUACCAUACGACUCCCAUUACGCUUAGCAUCUGGAACAUCAGAGAGCAACCGAGUGGUGAUGGCCUUUAACCGCUCCACGUCAAAUAUAGAUUCCCAUGAGAGUUCGUUGAUGUAGGAUAUGAUAGCAUCAUACUUGUCUGGUUCCGCUUGGAAGCUAAUGAUGAGCAUCUCAGGGUUAUGAUGCCCAAUGUCCAUAUUAUAGGAAACUGUGUCCCUCUCCAGUUCGACAAUGACUUGCUCAAAGGGAACCUUUUCUCCAUUUCGAAGAACAGGAAGGUUGAAGUAAGCUUGCAUGUAUACAGCUAGAAGCGGGCGCAGUUCUGCUGGCACAGACGUGGUUGAGAUAUUCAGGAAGAUCUGGAUGAAGUUGCUGGCGACGUGCUCAAAAUGAAUGAACAACGGCGAAUCCGACGCAUCCGCAUCGACCAGUUGUUGAAUUCGGUUAUUAGGACGACCCGUGCUAAGAGCAAGUCCCGAUUUUGCUGUUGUUGUCUUGAUGAAAGGAAUGGAUUCCACCCCAGGAAUUUUGAAUUUGGCCAGUUCUCCCUGAGCCUUCCUCUCCAAGAGCUCUCUUCCGUUCUGCGAUUCUGGACUGUUCGUCCUCCUUCAAUUUGGUGGCAAGUUUGGAGGACGGCACUCCUAGUAUUGACACAUGGGGGGCCUCGGAUAUCCAUUGUUUGAUGAAAGCGCGCCAUUGGUGGUCGUGCCACUUUUCCAACUCAUCGUACUCGUGAAGACUUGCAACGUGGCGAAGAGUAGAGCCAUCCCGCUGGCCGAACAAGAAAUCGCAGAUUACAUAGUGCGCGAAAGGGGAGACCGAGGACUCAGUGGAGAAUUUCCAGCUCCGACGUUGCCUUCGCACGCACUCCUGCAUAUAUUCCACAUCAAUCUCGUUUUGCAUGGCCUCCUUUAACACCUCAAAGAAGCGUCGUUCGACCUGCUCAAGCUUUUCGGUGGCUACGCUGGUGAGGGUGAAAGAGAUUUCGGUUCGAGGCGUCUGAGACGUGGAGUAAUACACAGCGCUUGUGAGAUGUUCUUUCUCCACAAGGGUGUUCUCAAGGAUCGUUGCGGAGGAACCCGCAAGAUAGAGAAGAACCACAUCGAGCGCAUCACCUAUAGAUAUUUAGCUUCCGUGCCGAGAAGGGAUAUAUAGGUAGAGCACUCACUAAGGAGGGUAUCACUGCAAUCCGGACCAAGAAAUCGAAUCUCAAUCUCGCCGAAAGAUUCAUCUGCUUCGGGGAAUUCAACUUUCUCUACAAUCGACCUCUCUAGCGGGGGUAUUGGUUGCGAUUCCAUCCAGGGUCUUCUGAAGGGGUCAUUAGGGCUUGGUAUCACGUCAAGGACUGUGCUCUCAAAUACAUUCAGAAUUUGCAACAUGUUGUCGUGGUCAACUUCUCCCGUAAUGAUUAGGCAGAGGUUUUUCGGCUGAUACAUCUUCCUGUGGAAUGCACGGAUACGUUCGGCUGUCAGAACCCGGAGUUGUUCCAUCAUUCCACCAGUCUCGUAACGGAAGCCAAUGCCUUCUGGAUACAGCAGGCGUCGGCAUUUCAAAUCUAUCAAUUCAGAUGAUUUAUUCUGUACGCCCUGCAUUUCCGAAUAGACCACACCUGCAUCAUUGCCCGUACCGUCAACAUGGUACACUUCAGUAUAGCAACCGGCAUCCGUUAAAGUGGGAUCAAUGAUAUGCUCAAGGUAGACGG